UUUUAAAGAGUGUCAAAAGUUUGGGCUUUACCCCAGCUUAAAACAUCUAUCUAUCUAUACUAAUAAAGUUGACUAGAAAGACUCCACAAUGCGCCACCUCAUCGAAUGUUAUUCCGGCGUUGUUUCAUCAUUCUUUGUUUCUGAAAAAUGGGUUGUCUACUUAUGAAAGUCUCAUGUUGCAUUUGAUUUAUUUGUUUGGGCCUAUCAUUAUUUCAGAAUCUCGGCCCAAAAGUCUUUCUUCUUCGAUCAAGUAUGAUCGGAACAAAUUAGCCAACAAAAACUGUUGGUUUACAUAACGCCCUCCCCCUGAAUUCAGUCAACCACAAUAAUGAUCUCAUUAAUGUCGUUCUCAUCACUACCUCCACUCUCUCGCAUUCAUUAGUUCACUCACACCACCAUGGAAACAUCUGAAAACUACAACUAUAACUAUAAAUACCAUAGUUGGAUUCACUAAAAAUCAAUAAUCCCAUCAAAUCAUUUCGCAUUCUCUCU
rnacentral:lncRNA from 1 species